rnacentral:rRNA from 1 species
UACGUAGGGUGCAAGCGUUGUCCGGAAUUAUUGGGCGUAAAGAGCUCGUAGGUGGCCUGUCGCGUCGGCUGUGAAAACUCGGGGCUCAACUCCGAGCUUGCAGUCGAUACGGGCAGGCUAGAGUUCGGCAGGGGGAGACUGGAAUUCCCUGGUGUAGCGGUGAAAUGCGCAGAUAUCAGGAGGAACACCGGUGGCGAAGGCGGGUCUCUGGGCCGAAACUGACGCUGAGGAGCGAAAGCGUGGGGAGCAAACAGG